GACCGCUCUGGUGGCCUAGUGGUUACAGCGCCCACCUCAGAUGCGAGAGGUCGUGGGUUUGAUCUCCGUCUGAGUCA